rnacentral:rRNA from 1 species
AGUGAGCGCUGGCGGUAGGCCUAACACAUGCAAGUCGAACGGCAGCACAGUAAGAGCUUGCUCUUACGGGUGGCGAGUGGCGGACGGGUGAGGAAUACAUCGGAAUCUACUUUUUCGUGGGGGAUAACGUAGGGAAACUUACGCUAAUACCGCAUACGACCUACGGGUGAAAGCAGGGGAUCUUCGGACCUUGCGCGAUUGAAUGAGCCGAUGUCGGAUUAGCUAGUUGGCGGGGUAAAGGCCCACCAAGGCGACGAUCCGUAGCUGGUCUGAGAGGAUGAUCAGCCACACUGGAACUGAGACACGGUCCAGACUCCUACGGGAGGCAGCAGUGGGGAAUAUUGGACAAUGGGCGCAAGCCUGAUCCAGCCAUACCGCGUGGGUGAAGAAGGCCUUUGGGUUGUAAAGCCCUUUUGUUGGGAAAGAAAAGCAGCAGGUUAAGACCCCGCUGUUCUGACGGUACCCAAAGAAUAAACACCGGCUAACUUCGU